AGGACGAACGCUGGCGGCGUGCUUAACACAUGCAAGUCGAACGAGGCGCUUGCGCCUAGUGGCGAACGGGUGAGUAACACGUGAGCAACCUGCCCUUGGCUCUGGGAUAGCCUCCGGAAACGGGGAUUAAUACCGGACAUGACCUUCUCCUGCAUGGGGGAGGGUGGAAAGUUUUUUCGGCCAGGGAGGGGCUCGCGGCCUAUCAGCUUGUUGGGGGGGUAACGCCCACCAAGGCGACGACGGGUAGCC
rnacentral:rRNA from 1 species